rnacentral:rRNA from 1 species
UACGUAGGGGGCAAGCGUUGUCCGGAAUCAUUGGGCGUAAAGAGCGUGUAGGCGGUCCGGUAAGUCCGCUGUGAAAGUCGGGGGCUUAACCCUCGGAUGCCGGUGGAUACUGUCGGGCUUGAGUACGGAAGAGGCGAGUGGAAUUCCUGGUGUAGCGGUGAAAUGCGCAGAUAUCAGGAGGAACACCAAUUGCGAAGGCAGCUCGCUGGGACGUUACUGACGCUGAGACGCGAAAGCGUGGGGAGCAAACAGG